CCUACGGGAGGCAGCAGUGGGGAAUAUUGGGCAAUGGAGGAAACUCUGACCCAGCAACGCCGCGUGAAUGAUGAAGGUCUUCGGAUUGUAAAGUUCUUUUCUAAGGGAAGAAGAAAGUGACGGUACCUUAGGAAUAAGCCUCGGCUAACUACGUGCCAGCAGCCGCGGUAAUACGUAGGAGGCAAGCGUUAUCCGGAAUGACUGGGCGUAAAGGGUGCGUAGGUGGUUUGAUAAGUUGGUAGCGUAACUCCGAGGCUCAACCUCGGCACUACUACCAAAACUGUCGGACUUGAGUGCAGGAGGGGCAACUGGAAUUCCUAGUGUAGCGGUGGAAUGCGUAGAUAUUAGGAGGAACACCAGUGGCGAAGGCGAGUUGCUGGACUGAAACUGACACUGAGGCACGAAAGCGUGGGGAGCAAACAGGAUUAGAUACCCGAGUAGUC
rnacentral:rRNA from 1 species